UACGGGGGGGGGCAAGCGUUGUUCGGAAUUACUGGGCGUAAAGGGUGCGUAGGCGGUCCGCUAAGUUAGAUGUGAAAACUCUGGGCUUAACCCAGAGCCUGCAUCUAAUACUGACGGGCUAGAGUUCUGGAGGGGGUAGCGGAAUUCCUGGUGUAGCGGUGAAAUGCGUAGAUAUCAGGAGGAACACCGGUGGCGAAAGCGGCUCACUGGACCAUAACUGACGCUGAGGCGCGAAAGCUAGGGGAGCAAACAGG
rnacentral:rRNA from 1 species